rnacentral:rRNA from 1 species
GACGAACGCUGGCGGCGUGCUUAACACAUGCAAGUCGAACGGAAAGGCCCUGCUUUUGUGGGGUGCUCGAGUGGCGAACGGGUGAGUAACACGUGAGUAACCUGCCCUUGACUUUGGGAUAACUUCAGGAAACUGGGGCUAAUACCGGAUAGGAGCUCCUGCUGCAUGGUGGGGGUUGGAAAGUUUCGGCGGGUGGGGAUGGACUCGCGGCUUAUCAGCUUGUUGGUGGGGUAGUGGCUUACCAAGGCUUUGACGGGUAGCCGGCCUGGGAGGGUGGCCGGCCACAUUGGGACUGAGAUACGGCCCAGACUCCUACGGGAGGCAGCAGUGGGGAAUAUUGCACAAUGGGCGGAAGCCUGAUGCAGCAACGCCGCGUGCGGGAUGACGGCCUUCGGGUUGUAAACCGCUUUCGCCUGUGACGAAGCGUGAGUGACGGUAAUGGGUAAAGAAGCACCGGCUAACUACGUG